AGCUUGGUAUACGGUACAGUGAGACGAC
rnacentral:sRNA from 1 species